rnacentral:ncRNA from 1 species
CUAAAGUUUUAUUUAAGCUUAAUAAUUAGGUUUUAUUUUAAUUUAAAUGUAAAUUUUUGUAAGAAAAAUUUUAAAAAAAUUGAUUUGCAAUAAAUAAUAUUAAAUAUUAAAGAAAUUUAGAUUUAGUAAUAAUAAAUAAUAUUAACUAAAUUUGUGCCAGCAGUUGCGGUUAUACAAAUAAUAUGAUUUAAUUUUAUUAGUUUUAAUUAAUUAAUAUUUAUUAAUUUUAAUAUAAGAUUUAUAAGGUGAAAUUUAAAAUUUUUAUUAAAAUUUUGGAGAUUUUAUGAAGUUAAAAAAUUUAAAGUUUAAACUAGGAUUAGAUACCCUAUUAUUUUAAAUGUAAUUUAUUAAACUAAAUUAGUAUUAGCUAUGUUCUUGAAAAUUAAAGAUUUUGGCGGUAUUUUAGUCUAUUCAGAGGAACCUGUUCUGUAAUUGAUAGUCCACGAUUUAAUUUACUUUUAUUAUUAAUUUACAUAUCGUCGUAGUUUGAAUAUUUUAUAAGAAUUUUAAUAUUCAAGAUUUAUAAUAAUAAAAUAAAUCAGAUCAAGGUGUAGUUUAUAUAAAAGAAGAAAUGGGUUACAAUAAAAAAAUUUAGGGAUUAUUAUUUUUAAAGUAAUAUAAAUUUGGAUUUGAAAGUAAUUAUAAUAAAUUUAUUAUUAUGAUUUUAGCUCUAAAAUAUGCACAUAUCGCCCGUCGCUUUCAUUAUAAUAUGAGAUAAGUCGUAACAAAGUAGAUUUACUGGAAAGUGAAUCUAGAAAGUC